rnacentral:rRNA from 1 species
UCCAGAGGGAGCAAGCGUUAAUCGGAAUUACUGGGCGUACAGCGUGCGUAGGUGGUUUGUUAAGUCAGGCGUGAAAUCCUGGGGCUCAACCUCAGAAUUGCGCUUGAUACUGACAGACUCGAGUGUGGUAGAGGAUAGUGGAAUUCCCGGUGUAGCGGUGAAAUGCGUAGAUAUCGGGAGGAACAUCAGUGGCGAAGGCGGCUAUCUGGACCAACACUGACGCUGAGGUACGAAAGCGUGGGUAGGAAACAGG